CACACACUCACCAGAUGACUUCUUCACUACUGUGUAAUCCUCAACAGUUAUCAAGUAAAUGAUCUCUAGGGUGAGGUCUAAUAUCCUCGCAGCCAUGUGGUUUCUGCCCUCGUCUAUCCUUGGUGGGUCAUUGAAAGAAAACUUUCCGUGUAAGAGGCCUGUAUCUGAGGAAUAUGUCGGAAGACAAAUGAGAACUAGGUGUAAACUCACAUCUUACAUUAAGUAUAGAGCCUCACUAAUGGGGAGUUUUAAAGGAUUAGUUAGAUCAUACAAUGGUGGUGACUUGAGGAACCGUUAACUUUGUUUCUUGGAAGUCUCCACGACAGCACAUCAGACAUUGCCACAUCCUGAAGGGAGAGGAAAGACACAGAGAGGUAAAUGAUCACCAUCUGCAGCGGACCACUCCACCCGAAGCCCCCACAUCAAGUUGUUAAAGGAAUAAAAGUUUUUGUUGUGACGCCAGUUGCAUUUCAGCAACGAGGACAUAGAGUCCCCUUUUAGUGAUGUGGUUAGUGGUUCCCAAUAUAGGAAUGUCAAAAUGGUGUAGGGUGGCCUACAAUGUCCCUGUAGAUGUUGUUAUGCACAUGUCAGACUGAGGGAAAUAUGGGUGCUGUCAUGGAGACUAUGAAGAAACCCAAUUACCAGUAUACCUGUAUAUAAUUGUUUUUAAUCCCAGUUAUCUCCAGAACAGUACAAGAGAUUUAACAAAUGUUUAAUACCGGGAGGGGGGGGGGGGGACCUGUAACUUUAGGACGGCCCAGCGCCGUGUAGGCUGCCCAUGACAUCAAGUCUUUAGACUUAUGUUGUCACUCUGCAUAUUAAUUUUACAGGAGCUGACCCUUUCUUCCCAGGAGAUCAUCGUAAGAAAGGGUAGGGAUUGCUUCAAUCCCCACUGAUUGACUUUCUCCAAGAAUUAAGGGGGGAAUUUAUCAAACUGGAGUAAAGUAGAACUGGCUUAGUUGCCCAUAGCAACC